AGGAUAUGCCAAAUCCAAAAAAGCAUGGCUAAAAAUACCUCAAGCAGACGCUCAAGAAAUCAUUGACGCACAAGCCAAGGUUGUGCGACAUCUGUAGCAGAAGUGCGUGGCGCAGCGGUUGUCAAGGUGUUGUGGGGGGGAGAUAAGAGGCACCGGCCCCCCGACAGGAGGCAUGACCAAUCUGACAGCUGCUGGAAGCUCUGUGGUGCGUGGACCGGGGACUGUUUGAUCAGCCUGGAGUGUGGCCCCGUCCCGGCGGGGCAUCUGCCUACGCCUUCACCACGGGCGCCGAUUGGGCGUCGUGCAUGCGUGCUAAGAGUGAAGAUAGUGGCGCCCGGCCCAACUCCUGCCAUCCUGCAGCUCAUCAGCAGAACUCCACCAGAGCCACGCCAGGCGGUGCCGGCUGCGGCACCACCCAUCGCACCACCCGCUCCCGUUCGGUUUCAUGUUCAUCCAAAGGCUGGAUAAGGACACCUAAAAAGACUGUUGGCUACAGCGAGGUUGUUCUACCCAGCUCCCGACGAAGGAGGCCAGGAUUGUGAGGGGGCUAUGUCCCGUUUAUGAUGUACUGUGUUCGUUUCUAUGUGUUUUUCUUGUGUUGCCCUCUGGGAAGUGGUGAUGCCUAUUUAUACACAUUGAUGAUGUGCUGGUUAUAUUUCUCGAGGCAAAGCAAACAUUUGGUGUCACGUUGGGUUAUACUUAACAAAUAUAUGAUCUGAUUUAGCUUCAUUAUCUGAAGACUGUUGAGCAAACAAACGCACAGCAGUCCAUAGACAAAUAAUUCCUCGUUUUGGAACAGACCGUGUCUUGAGUCAUCACUCACAAGUUUAUCAUUUCAACAGCGUGUGCACUCAUUUUUAAUAACGAUAUUGAGUGUGGAUGCAUCCAUCUUUGUACAUUAAAUCUAACUGAAACGUGCACCCCUCUCUCAUAUAGUUGGUUCGAAAUUGCCUAGUGACCUAGUUUGCUCUGCAAAUAAUCACUCCUUUUUUAUGUCAAGUGUGCAGGUCUCCAGUUGUGUUGUAUAUAUUCCUUCAUAAGUACAGAAUCCCAAUGGUUAUGUAUAUGUCAAUAAAGUCAUUAUUUUUUGUAUUCAAAA